GACGAACGCUGGCGGCGUGCCUAACACAUGCAAGUCGAACGGAGAAAUUCAGCAAUGGAUUUCUUAGUGGCGAACGGGUGAGUAACGCGUAGACAACCUGCCUCUAAGCUGGGGACAACAACUCGAAAGGGUUGCUAAUACCGAAUGUGAACAGUGUCUCGCAUGAGAUGCUGUUUGAAGGUGGCCUCUGAACAUGCUACCGCUUAGAGAUGGGACUGCGUCUGAUUAGCUAGUUGGAGGGGUAAUGGCCCACCAAGGCGACGAUCAGUAGCCGGUCUGAGAGGAUGAACGGCCACACUGGGACUGAGACACGGCCCAGACUCCUACGGGAGGCAGCAGUGGGGAAUCUUCCGCAAUGGACGAAAGUCUGACGGAGCAACGCCGCGUGAGUGAAGAAGGCCCUCGGGUCGUAAAGCUCUGUCUUCAGGGACGAAUGUGCAGAUUGUGAAUAAUGGUUUGUAAUGACGGUACCUGAGGAGGAAGCCACGGCUAACUACGUGCCAGCCGCCGCGGUAA
rnacentral:rRNA from 1 species